rnacentral:rRNA from 1 species
GGAUGAACGCUAGCGGCAGGCUUAAUACAUGCAAGUCGAGGGGGCAGCAAUGUCACCGGCGAACGGGUGCGUAACGCGUAUGCAACCUACCUACAUCAGGGGGAUAGCCCUAGGAAACUGGGAUUAACACCGCAUAAUAUAAGAUACGGCAUCGUAACUUAUUGAAAUAUUUAUAGGAUGUAGAUGGGCAUGCGUAGGAUUAGCUAGUUGGUAAGGUAACGGCUUACCAAGGCUACGAUCCUUAGGGGCUCUGAGAGGAGUAUCCCCCACACUGGCACUGAGAUACGGGCCAGAACUCCUACGGGAGGCAGCAGUAGGGAAUAUUGGGCAAUGGAGGCAACUCUGACCCAGCCAUGCCGCGUGCAGGAAGACGGUCCUCUGGAUUGUAAACUGCUUUUGAAUGGGAAGAAUGUGCUCCUUGCGAGGGGUAAUGACGGUACCAUUAGAAUAAGCCACGGCUAACUACGUGCCAGCAGCCGCGGUAAUACGUAGGUGGCGAGCGUUAUCCGGAUUUAUUGGGUUUAAAGGGUGCGUAGGCGGCUUAAUAAGUCGGUGGUUAAAAGUAGCAGCUUAACUGUUUUACAUGCCAUCGAUACUGUUGAGCUUGA